rnacentral:rRNA from 1 species
AAAAGAACUCUGAAUAGAGAGUUAAAUAGUACGUGAAACUGCUUAGAGGUUAAACCCGAUGAACCUGAAUAUCCAAUAUAAAGAAUUCAUCAUUAAAAUGAUAAUUUUUAUUGUUAUUAUGGUGUGCAUUUUCUUUAUAUAUAUGGACAUUGUAAUCUAUUAAUAUUAUAUAAUUUAUCAAAAGAUUAAUGGUAUAUGAUUAUUUUAAUUAAUUUACUUCGGUUUUUUAAUAUUAAAUAAUUUCUAUUAAUUUGAUAAAGUAUUAAUAGAUUUAAUCAUAUGUAUAAUGCAAAAAUUUCAUUAGAAAUUUUAUAAUAAUUUUAUUAUUAUAAGCAUUUAUACGAUUUACAAUGCGAAAGAUUCAGGAUACCUUCGGGAC